AUGCUUUGGUGGAUCUUGAGGUGCCUUGGCAUGAGAAAGGCCCAGAGUUAUGGCAUAAGCCUUGGGAGCAGGGGUCACAACCCAAGGAGCUGGCACGAAGUCUCCUACCUGGCUGGUGAAUUGGUAAUUGAGACUACAUUAUGUGGAGCAACAGCCAACAAAGGUAUAUUUCUCAUAUACGUGUAUCUGUGGGCUGGGAUUCAUAAUCAUAGCAGGUGCUAUAGGACUGGAAGUUUGUAUCCCUCAUAAGUUGAAGUCAAAACUCAUAUGUUGAAACCCUAUGCUCAGUGCGAUGAUAUUUGGAGGUGGCGGUCUUUGGGAGAAGAUUCAGUCAGAAAGGGGGAGCCUUUGCUGCUGGGGUUAGUGCGCUCAUAAGAGAGACCCCAGAGGGCUUCUAUGCCCCUUCUAAUAUGUGAUGAUACACUGAGAAGAUGGUUGUCUAUGAGGAAAUGGACUCCUACCAGAUACUGAAUCUCCUGGAGCCUUGAUCUUGGACUUCCCCAGGCUCCAGAACUGCAAGAUAUAAAUUUCUAUUGUUGAUAAGCCACCCAUUCUAUGGUAUUCGUGACAGCAGCUUGAAGGGGAGGGCACCAGGUAUCACGCAGUGCAGGGUGGUGUCACGUUGAUCUGAUGAGUGGGUCAUAUCAGAAUUCUGAGAUAAGAAAGCUGCCCUGUUAAUUUGAUUCACAAAUGACAGGAUUUCAUUGAAAUGUUUGUUAUACUUACACUGCAUAGAAACAGUAUGAAACCCAGACAUCCACGUAAUAGUAAUUAAUUUGGUGGUUAUAAAUGGACAGUUUAUCCAAUGUCCCCCCUCACAUUUUAAUAGAAAUGUAUUCAAAAAACAUUUUAAUGGUGUUUAGAAAUAGGGAUCACUCAAAAUGUGGUUCCUGGACCAUCAGCCCAGCAUCCCCUGAAGGCUUGUCAGUGGUGCUGUGGUGUGAGCCCCACCCCAGACCUCCAGAAACGGAACCUGCACUUUAAUAACAUCCCGUGGCGACUCCUAAUCCCAGGAAAGCAUAAGAAGCAUAGUUCUGGGAAACUACUCUCAGUCAGUUGAGAAUAGUGAAUGAGGGCAUGGAAGACCUCUGGCAAAAUGAAGGUCAUAAAUGGCAGUUCCAUUUGAGUCUUGGCUUUAGAACAAGAAAAUAGACCAGGGAAUAUGACUGUUCAAUAUAUGUGAAUUGAAUUGUAUAUGGUGAGCCUCAAAGUUUUCUGCACAUUAAAAGUACCUGGGAGGUUUUUAAAAAAUACAAUAUUUGAUCUCCCACUUACCAGACCUGUGGGGUGCAGCUCCCAACAAUAGUAUUUAAGACUCUCUAGGUGAUUCCAGCCUGCAGUUGAUGCUGAGAUCUGCUGAACUACGUUGCCUUGCCUUCUCCUGACCCACUCAACCAUCAUUGAAAACUACAAGCCCCUUAUAACAAAAUUUUGAUAUCCUAGAAUAAAAACCACCACAUGGAAACACUAUAUCCAUAUGUAAACUGAUAUCUUCAUUUGCUCUGGUUUUACCAGUCACUUCUUAAACAAAUAGCCAUUUGUGUCAUAUAUUUCACUCCAUAAUUUUGCCUUUGACAAACAAUUCUGAAAUAUUUUACAUUCUAAGUUCUGAAUAAUUUUCACUAAGAUAGGUUCUAACUAAGUCUUUAAUAGUAUUUAAUGUUUAAAGUUAUAUUCUUUCUGUGUUCUGAGUACUUCUGAAGAUUACUAUCAGAGCUUGCACGUUGUAAAAAUACACAAUCUGGGGAAAAUUGUAGCUAUUUGAGUGGCUAGGCUUCUGUUUAACUGUGCACUUGUAAUUGGCAAGCUACUUUGCUAUAAGAAAGUAGAAUAGAAGGGAAAGGACCCGCUGAUUGGGCUAAGGACAGGUGCACUCUUCUGUAAUUGUUAACUUUCUGAAGUUGCAUUAAGCAAAUGCAUGCAUAGCAAAAGCACAAACGAACUGAGAAGAGCUGGUACAGAUGGGUCCCAUGUGCUCCUUCUAAACAUUCUUCUUCAGUGCACAAUGUAUUUGAAUGUGGGCUUCUGUGUGCCAGAUUUUGUAGCACAAAUUUAUGUCCAACUUCUAUUGUGUUGUGAAGAUCACAAAAUACACAGUGGCUACCAGAUCUAUUAUAUGAGAGACUUUCAUAGCUGACACGUAUUGUAAUUUGAUUCAAAGCAUACAAACAAUAACAACAAAGCCAAUCAAGGAAUGAGAACAAUUCAGCAGGAGAGAAUCAUUUGAACAAGAUUCAGUGCAAUUGUUAACGAACAUUAAGUCAUGCGCCAGAGACCCGAAUGCUGUGAAUUCAGGGUUUGCUCUUACAUUGGAUUUUCAGCUAUGAAACAGAAAUAAAAAAGAAAUGUCGAUAUCUGUUUCCUAUUAGCUCCCAUUUCAUUUUAGGUUGGGUUUAUGUCCUAUUUUAUUGCAAAUUAUGAUUGGGAAUACAAUGGGUAAAAUUAAAUAACUGAUUCUACAGCAGCUAUUAAAUUGGUACCUAUUAACAGAAAGGCUAGCUUUUCAUCUGCAGUACUGGUUCCUUAAACUACACUCAAUACAUCUUGCUUCCCAAUCAUUCAGUGGUUUUCCUGCUCAGCCCUGUGCCACUGUCCUCACUCAGUGAUACCCAUUCUCCUCUCCCACCUCAACAGAAUCCUCGUAAUUGCACCACCCUUUUUCCUACACUAAAGGAACUAUCAAGAUUAUUCAUACCAACCUGUAAUUGAUGAAUAAACCAAUCCAUUAUCUGCCACUCAAGGAGUAUUUUUAAGUAAGAGCGGCUAAGAACCCUAAGUUCUUAAUUUUCAAAAUAAGACACACACAUAUCAGGGAGAACAGGAAGCCACAUGAUAGAGAUGGUGAACUUUCAGGGAUAACUCAUUUUACUUGAAGAAAGGUUACAUAAAAUAUUUUUUUUUCUAAAAAGAUGAAUGUAUAAUGUCACGCAGUACAAAAUCCACAUAACAUUUACAGGUGAGAUAUAAAUAUUCACAUAUGAAUUUCACUUUUUCUGAAGCGUCACUGUCAGCCACCCCCAUAUCUCAGUGGUCCCAUUUCUCUUUCCUCUGCUUCGAGGAAUAGUUCAAGAGGAAGGUUUUAAGAGGGAUUGCCACAGGACAGACCCAUUGACCUCUUGAUGAAAUCCACUAGAAGCAGGGGAACUGCUUAUUUUUUCCCAGGUCGGAUGAAGGUUGACACUCUGGGUGAUGUUGCCAGUACUUCACAUUCUCAACAGUCAAUUACAUACUCAAGGAGGAGCUGGAAACAUGCAGCGGUCAGCCCUGCCCUACAAUGACUGUGCUGUGAGAGUACAGAGAAGGAAAGAUUUCACUGCUUCCAAAGCCCCAAAGACAAGCAGGGCUGCUCCCCAGAGCACUAUGUUUUACAGCUCAGGAGGUCGC
rnacentral:lncRNA from 1 species